UCUCUGAUAGUGUAUUGGCACCUACACUCGCAUGUCAUGGUCCGCAUUGUUGAAAUGUACGCGGGAGAGCUGGGUUCGAUUCUCAGUCAGAGAG